AGGCAGGAGAUGGGGGCAUGAGGACAGAGGGACAGAACACUGAAAGGAGCCUUGCUGUGACGUCUGGGGCAACUCAGAAAGACAGAGGAGCAGAGGCAGAACUGCGAAACACAAACCCAGCAGCCAGCCAAGAGAGACCAGGGAGAGGCCCUGCGUGCUUCAUGCCCACUAUCCUGAUGCCACCAAAGGGACAUGGGCUACACUUUUUUCAGGGAAUAUCAAUUUCUCCAGUCUGAACCCAAAAAUGGUGCCUUGCUCUCCCACAAUAGCAUCCAGUGUAACUCAAGAAAAGGUUGCCUUUCUGUGGUCAUGAACUGCUCCCAGAACUGAAGCACCAGGGCCCCUGGGAUUAGAACUGGCAAAAACUACACUCAGAAGCAAAUUAAAAUAAGGUCCUGUAAACUUGGA